UAACAUAUUAUCAGGUUAACAC
rnacentral:siRNA from 1 species